rnacentral:rRNA from 1 species
AACGAACGCUGGCGGCAUGCCUAACACAUGCAAGUCGAACGAGACCUUCGGGUCUAGUGGCGCACGGGUGCGUAACCCGUGGGAACCUGCCCUUAGGUUCGGAAUAACUCCCCGAAAGGGGUGCUAAUACCGGAUAAUGUCUUCGGACCAAAGAUUUAUCGCCUUUGGAUGGGCUCGCGUUGGAUUAGCUAGUUGGUAGGGUAAAAGCCUACCAAGGCGACGAUCCAUAGCUGGUCUGAGAGGAUGAUCAGCCACACUGGGACUGAGACACGGCCCAGACUCCUACGGGAGGCAGCAGUGGGGAAUAUUGGACAAUGGGCGAAAGCCUGAUCCAGCAAUGCCGCGUGAGUGAUGAAGGCCUUAGGGUUGUAAAGCUCUUUUACCCGGGAUGAUAAUGACAGUACCGGGAGAAUAAGCUCCGGCUAACUCCGUG